UACGAAGGUGGCAAGCGUUGUUCGGAUUUACUGGGCGUACAGGGAGCGUAGGCGGUUGGAUAAGCCCUCCGUGAAAUCUCCAGGCUUAAACCUGGAAAGUGCAGAGGGGACUGUUCAGCUAGAGGAUGGGAGAGGAGCGCGGAAUUCCUGGUGUAGCGGUGAAAUGCGCAGAUAUCAGGAGGAACACCAACGGCGGAAGGCAGCACUCUGGGCCGGUACUGACGCUGAGGAGCGAAAGCGUGGGGAGCAAAAGGG
rnacentral:rRNA from 1 species